GCCAGACUCCUACGGGAGGCAGCAGUGGGGAAUAUUGGACAAUGGGGGAAACCCUGAUCCAGCGACGCCGCGUGAGUGAAGAAGUAUUUCGGUACGUAAAGCUCUAUCAGCAGGAAAGAAAAUGACGGUACCUGACUAAGAAGCCCCGGCUAACUACGUGCCAGCAGCCGCGGUAAUACGUAGGGGGCAAGCGUUAUCCGGAUUUACUGGGUGUAAAGGGAGCGUAGACGGCAGCGCAAGUCUGGAGUGAAAUGCCGGGGCCCAACCCCGGAACUGCUCUGGAAACUGUGUAGCUGGAGUGUCGGAGAGGCAGGCGGAAUUCCUAGUGUAGCGGUGAAAUGCGUAGAUAUUAGGAGGAACACCAGUGGCGAAGGCGGCCUGCUGGACGAUGACUGACGUUGAGGCUCGAAAGCGUGGGGAGCAAACAGGAUUAGAUACCCUGGUAAU
rnacentral:rRNA from 1 species